rnacentral:rRNA from 1 species
UCCGUAGGCGGUGUGGCAAGUCGGGGGUGAAAUCUCUGGGCUUAACUCAGAGACUGCCUCCGAAACUGCCGUGCUUGAGUGUGGGAGAGGCGCGUGGAAUUGCAGGUGUAGCGGUGAAAUGCGUAGAUAUCUGCAGGAACACCCGUGGCGAAAGCGGCGCGCUGGACCACAACUGACGCUGAGGGACGAAAGCUAGGGGAGCAAACAGGAUUAGAUACCCUGGUAGUCCUAGCCCUAAACGAUCAGGACUUGGGGUGUCUCGCGUCCGCGAGACGUCCCGGAGCUAACGCAUUAAGUCCUGCACCUGGGGAGUACGGUCGCAAGACUGAA